UUUACAUUUGGGGAGAACAUUCCUGGACGAGCAGGACAAGCCAGAACUUCCUCCUGAGGGUGUGUUCUGAGUGCCCGCUGGGUUGGUGCCUCCUGUUCUCCUGGGUCCCUGCCUUAAAGGGUCCAUGGGUUCAAACCUGAAUGCUGCACACCUCGGUCUAAAGAAAUUAAGUUCAAAGUUUAUAUGGAGUACAUGUUUGGAUGAAAACGAAACCACAGAGGACUUCCCUAGCAGUCUAGUGGUUAAGACUUGAUGCUUCCAAUGCAGGGGGCCUGGACUCAAUCCCUGGUUUGGGUACAAGGAUCCCACGUGCCAUGGGGUGUGGCAAAAAAAAAAAAAAAGAGAGAGAUUACAGAAAGCAAAGCCACAGAAAUGCACAAUAAUGAACUGCUUCUGUUCAAGAAAUGAAAAUCAGAUUGCACAAAAAUGAGCAUAAGCUUGAUGUCCACGCACAAAUAGAGCAACAGGUAGAUUUCUGCUUGGCUUUAUCAUUGUCCUUUUUAUUAAGAAUCAUGCAAGGACUCUAUUUCUUAUUUUAUCUUACUACAAUGUUGUUAAGGGAUCUAUUUUUGAGCAACAUUCUUUGUACAAGACCUUUCCAAGACCAGCUGGGCUCUCCCGACAGUUACUCUUCAUCACCUGAGCUGGACUCAAGCCCCCAGGGAGGGUCAGUGUGUUCAGUUUUACUUCUUCAGGUCACAGAAAAGUGGUCCAGACUCAUCAUGGUUUCAACCCCCGAGGAAAGUGAGGAUUUUAAAAAGGCUAUCAUCUCAGGAAUGUCCUGCAAAUUCUAUCACCAAAGACAGAACAACAGUCAAUCAAUUCUACAAACUAACUGUACUUUGCUGUUGUUUAGUUGCUCAGUCGUGUCCGACUCUUUGUGACCCCCUGGACUGUAGCCAGCCAAGCUUCUCCAUCCAUGGGAUUUCCCGGGCAAGAACAGUGGAGUGGGCUGCCAUUUCAUUCUCCAGGGGAUCUUCCUGACCCAGGGAUGGAAACUGCAUCUCUUGCAUCUCCUGAAUUGGCAGGCGAUUCUUUCCUGCUGAGUACUUAAGUCAGGUUUAAUUGAAGUAAAACGAUUCAGAAUUGUUAAUUCACUAGAUACAGCCCUUGUCAGGAAGACCCUUAACUAGAAUAUGCAAAAUAAUACUUGGGUUUACAGUCAAAAGUAUUUGGAACCCUUGAAGAGAAUAUAGGCAAAACAUUCUCUGACAUAAAUUGUACCAAUGUUUUCUUAAGUCAGUCUCACAAAACAAUAGAGAUAAAACAAAAAUAAACAAAUGGGACCCCUUCAAACUUACAAGCUUUUGUACAGCAAAGUAAACCAUAAGCAAAAUGAAAAGACAACCCACAGACUAGGAGAAAAUAUUUGCAAACUAUGUGACCAAAAAGGGCUUAAUUUCCAAAAUACACAAAUAGUUCAUACAACUCAACAUCAAAAAAAAAAAAACUAAUCAAAAAUAGGCAGAAGACCUAAACAGACAUUUCUCCAAAGGAGACAUACAGAUGGCCAAUAAGCACAUGAAAAGAUGCUCAACAUGCCUAAUUAUUAGAAAAAUGUAAAUCAGAACUACGUGGAAAUAUCACCUCACAUCAGUCAGAAUGGCCAUCAUGAAGAAGUCUACAAACAAUAAAUCCUGGAGAGAGUGUGUAGAAAAGGGAACCCUCCUACAAUGUUGGUGAGAAUGUAAGUUGGUGCAACCAUUAUGGUGAAUAGCAUGGAGGUUCCUUAAAAAACUAGAAAUAGAGUUACCAUAUGAUCCUGCAUUUCCACUCCCGGGCGUAUCCAGACGAAACUAAUCCCAAAAGAUACAUACUUCCCUAUUUUCACAGCAAUGCUAUUCACAAUAGCCCAGACGUGGAAGCAACCUAAAUGUCUAUCGACAGAUGAAUGGGUAAAGAAGAUGUGGUGUAUAUAGUAUAUAUACCAUGAAGCAUUAGUGAAGUGAGUGAAGUCGCUCAGUCAUGUCCGACUCUUUGCGACCCUAUGGACUGUAGCCCACCAGGAUCCAACCCCAUGGGAUUCUUCAAGCAAGAGUACUGGAGUGGGUUGCCAUUUCCUUCUCCAGGGGAUCUUCCCGACUCAGGGAUCGAACCCAGGUCUCCUGCAUUCCAGACAGACGCUUUAACCCCUGAGCCAUCAGGGAAGCCCAUGGAGCAUUACUCAGUCAUAAGAAAGAACCAAAUGACGCCAUUUGUAGCAACAUGGAUGGAUCUCGAGAUUAUCCAUUAAGUGAAAUUAAGUCAGGAAGAGAAAUACGAAUAUCAGAUCGUACCAUUCAUAUGCGGAACCUAAAUUAUGACACAAAUAAACCUGCCUAUGAAACAGAAUCACGGGGAACAGACUGGUGGUUGCCAAAGGGCAGGAGGUCGGGCAAAGGUUGGAGGGGGAGGUUGAGGUUAGCAGAUGCAAGCUUUAUAAACACGAGGGACAACAACAAGGCCCCACUGUACAGCACAGAGAGCUAUAUUCAGUAUCCUGUGAUAAAUCAUAAUAGAAAAGAAUAACUUAAAAAAUGUGUAUAUAUAUAUAUUUAUAACUGAAUCACUUUCUGUAUAGCAGUAAUCAACAUAUUGUAAAUCAACUAUAUUUUAAUUAAAAAAAAAAACUGGAACCCUUCAAGGUUCAAGGGUAAAUCGAAGAGGAGAAAACAUCAAGAACAAAAGUCUGAAGAGCUAGGGCAGGUUGUGGAGUUAGUUUGUGGGUUUAAGAAGUGUAAGGUUAUUAGACAAAAACCUAUGAUUGGCUCUUCUUGAUCUUCACCACAAACAGAACAAGGGGGCAUACCCUCAAUUAUCGGACACAAGGGUCUUUUUUUGCACAGAAACAACUCCACUCGCCUCAUUAGCAGUAAAAUAAACGCUGGGGGAGUUCAGUUGUGUUUCUAUUCUUGGUUUGAAAUACUGGUGCCAAGCAGCAGCUCAGGGCUAUUAAAAUCUGAGUUGUAGCAAGCUGAGGAAAAGCCACUCUGCUGGGUGUGAGUCACCAGAGCCAGGGAAGUUCUCACAGUGAUUCACACGGCAAGCCAGAGGUGACGGUAAGCUCUGCAGCGUCACAAGUCUGACUGUGGCUGGUGACUAAGCAGUUAAAAUAUUGAGGCUGUGACUCCACCUGAAGACAGGUGUGGGGUAGGGGUGGGGGGUAAUUACAGCCUGAGUGGGAAAGCUGAGCCCUGUCUGACAAACUGUCGGAAGGGAGCCAGUAAAGUCAUUUAACUUUUUUUAUUGUUGCCUUUGCAGUUAAAAAGGGAAAAACAUAGUAUGGAGGGUCCUCAAAAAACUAAAAAUGAAGUUGCCAUAUGAUCCGGCAAUCCCAUUCUUGGGCAUUUAUCCAGACAAAACUAGAAUUUGAAAAGAUACAUCACCCCAAUUCAUAGCAGCGCUAUUCACAGUAGCCAAGACACAAAAGCAAGCACGGAACCAUUGACAGAUGAAUGGAUUGAGAAGAUGUGCUACAUACAUACAGAUGGGUAUCAGCCUUAGAAAAAUGAAAUAAUGCCAUUUGCAGAAAUGUGGGUGGACCUGGAGAUUAUCAUACUAAACAAAGGCAGUCAGAAAGAGAAGGGCAAGUAUCAUACGGUAUUGCUUAUAUGUGGAAUCUAAGAUAUGACACAAAUAAAUCUAUCUAUGACAGAGAUAGACUAUCUUAAUAAAACAAAGUUGAAGAAAUAAUCAUCUCAUCAAUAAGAUUGAGUCAUUGGAGACUAGGAUUUCCAAGUCUCUCAAAGACUCGGAAGUUUCAAGUGAUAACUCCAACUAGAUUUAAUAAAUUUCUGUUUUGGGGGGUUAGUGCUUCAAAGCUUUGGUGCUCAAGGAAGUAUGUUGUCUCCCUCGAUGCUUAGGAAAAAUACUUGCCUAUUAAUCUCUAGUGUGGGUCAGGCUUACUGCAUGGGGCUGGGGGUGGCUCAGAGGAAAAAUGAUGAGAAAAAGCAGUCUCAACUGAGCAACUGAGCACACACACGCUUUUGGAGCUUACUGAACAGCAGGGAAGCUCAAAUAUGAACAAAGUCAUAUAAUGAGUAAAUAGUGUAAUUGCCAACCGGAUCGGUGUUGUGCUUGCUUUCAGAUGUGAUAUGAGGGUGACUCCAAGAGGUGUCUCUGAGGUGGAGUUUGAGGUGGAGAUGAGUCGGUGGACUUCCCGGGAACAGAAGAUGGCGAUGCAGGAGCCACACAGCACCCUUUUCCCAACUGCAGCCAGCCCCCCACCCCAACCCUAGAUCGUCUAGGAAAAGCAGACAGUGACACCUGAGGACUUCUAAAACGGCUCCUGCAAUGCAGCGCCCACUCCCUGUCUUUCCUUG
ensembl:lncRNA